rnacentral:rRNA from 1 species
UACGUAGGGUGCGAGCGUUUGUCCGGAAUUAUUGGGCGUAAAGAGCUUGUAGGCGGUCUGUCGCGUCUGCUGUGAAAAUCCGGGGCUCAACCCCGGACUUGCAGUGGGUACGGGCAGACUAGAGUGUGGUAGGGGAGACUGGAAUUCCUGGUGUAGCGGUGAAAUGCGCAGAUAUCAGGAGGAACACCGAUGGGCGAAGGCAGGUCUCUGGGCCACUACUGACGCUGAGAAGCGAAAGCAUGGGGAGCGAACAGG